UUCACCCCACCCACAUUUUUUAAUGGAGCUGAAGUGAACACACUCUUUUAGGUUACUGCUGUUUAGGCAAGACUCUGUCUAGCUCCAAGAAUAACAUUAGCUGCUGCAGCACAGAUUAAGGGUUGGCAUGAAGGUCCAAGUGUGAGUUUGUCAUCGUUGGUUGGUGCCUGUUGUUCUGAAGACGAGAGAAGCACGAGCUUGUGUGACAUCAGCUUCCAGCGUUGGUUUGAUGUGGCCUCUGCCUUCUCACUGGCUAAUCGAGCUCCACUGGGACUGGAGAUGGGUUCCAAGAAAGUACAAUUGAUUAGAUGCAUAUUUUCUGAAUUAUACAACAGAUCACACCCAGCUGCACAGCUUUUCUCAGGUGCUGAAUUCUUGAAAUUACUGCCCAUCUGA
rnacentral:lncRNA from 1 species